GAGGGUGUAGCUCAAUGGUAGAGCACAUGCUUAGCAUGCAUGAGGUCCUGGGUUCAAUCCCCAGUAUCUCCA
rnacentral:tRNA from 1 species